CUGCGGGGAAGAUUUAACGGGGCUAAGCACAGAACCGAAGCUUGGGGUGCAUAACUUUGUUAUGCGCGGUAGAGGAGCGUUCCGUAAGCCGUUGAAGGUGGAUUGAGAAGUCUGCUGGAGGUAUCGGAAGUGCGAAUGCUGACAUGAGUAACGAUAAUGCGGGUGAAAAACCCGCACGCCGAAAGCCCAAGGUUUCCUUGCGCAACGUUAAUCGGCGCAGGGUGAGUCGGCCCCUAAGGCGAGGACGAAAGUCGUAGUCGAUGGGAAGCAGGUUAAUAUUCCUGCACCUCGCGUAAGUGCGAUGGAGGGACGGAGAAGGUUAGGUGUACCAGGCGUUGGUUGUCCUGGGGAAAGGCGGUAGGUUUGGAUCUUUGGCAAAUCCGGGAUCCUCUAAGACCGAGCACCGAGACGAGCCUUUAUGGCGAAGUCACUGAUACCACGCUUCCAGGAAAAGCUCCUAAGCUUCAGCUUACGCAGACCGUACCGUAAACCGACACAGGUGGGUAGGAUGAGAAUUCUCAGGCGCUUGAGAGAACUCGGGUGAAGGAACUAGGCAACAUGGCACCGUAACUUCGGGAGAAGGUGCACCCUUUUUGGUGGCUCGUGCGAGCUAUAGCUGAAGAGGGUCGCAGUAACCAGGCCGCUGCGACUGUUUAUCAAAAACACAGCACUCUGCAAACACGAAAGUGGACGUAUAGGGUGUGACGCCUGCCCGGUGCUGGAAGGUUAAUUGAUGGGGUCAGCCGCAAGGCGAAGCUCUUGA
rnacentral:rRNA from 1 species